rnacentral:rRNA from 1 species
CGUCUAUAUACGUAUAGCAUAUCAAUAAGCGGAGGAAAAGAAACUAACAAGGAUUCCCUUAGUAACGGCGAGUGAAGCGGGAAGAGCUCAAAUUUGAAAUCUUCAAGGUUCUACCUUGACGAAUUGUAGUUUAUAGAAGUGUUUUCUGUUAGUGGAGUGGCAAAAGUUCUUUGGAAUAGGACAUCAUAGAGGGUGAGAAUCCCGUAUUUGGUCAUUCCUCCUAGCGUUGUGAUACACUUUCAACGAGUCGGAUUGUUUGGGAAUGCAGUCCAAAAUGGGUGGUAAAUUUCAUCUAAAGCUAAAUAUUGGCGAGAGACCGAUAGCGAACAAGUACCGUGAGGGAAAGAUGAAAAGAACUUUGAAAAGAGAGUUAAACAGUACGUGAAAUUGUCAAAAGGGAAGCGUUUGACACCAGUGUUGUUUAGUUGAAAAUCAAUUCAAUAGUUUUUGAUUCUAAGUAGUAUUGACUUCAUCAGCUUGCUGCUUUCUUCUCAGAAAUUAUUGAAUGCACUUUUCAGUUAACAAGUCAACAUCAAUUUCUUUUGUUGUAAAAGGGUAUGAGGAAGGUGGCUUUCUUUUCGGAGAAAGUGUUUAUAGCCUUGUGCCUCUACAAUCGGAGAGAUUGAGGUCUGCAGCGUAGAUCCUUCGGGGUUAGAUACGUUUGUGCUAAGUUAUAGCUUUUCAUAGACAACUUGUUGACUAUGUUUAGUCUUGUAGCUUACUCGCUGACGCUAUUUUACCUACGCUUAGGAUGUUGAUAGUCACAGCGUGUAC